rnacentral:rRNA from 1 species
CUCCCUAAGCUGUGUCGGUGGCAUAUCAUGAAGAAGUACAAAGACCACCUCGCCUUGCUGUAUAAGGCACACGAGAAACUCAAGGAUGAACUCAAUGCGGUGAUGAACCACCCACUAAUGACGUCAGAAUUUGAACGAGCAUGGAAGAACCUCGUUCAGAGAUACAACCUACAAGACGACGAAGUGAUGAAUUCCCUGUGGGAUGACAGGCACAAGUGGAUUUCGGCUUACUACAAGGAAAUUUUCUGUGCUCGGAUGACUUCCACACAGAGAAGCAAGAGCAUGAACCGCAUACUGAAGAAAUUUUUUGUCAAAGAGAAGCAUGAUCUCCAUCUGUUUGCUCAGCAGGUGGACAAGUGCAUUCAGACCAGGAAGGUCGUCGAGCACGCAGAGACAGUAGCAAAUGAGUCAGAGGUAAAAACAACAACCAAGUUUGGGUUCGAAGUUCAGCUAUCAAAAGUGUAUACAAGGGCAGUGUUUGCAGAUUUCAAAGAAACACUCUACCAUAGCACUGCAUUCAGAGCAGAACGGUGCCCUGAGAACCCGGCAAAGUAUCUCGUACACCACUACAAUAGAUCGGAUGCAUUUGACUGGGCAAGGCAUAAUUUCCAAGUGGUCGCCGAUGAAAAGAAAGGUGUCUAUGAAUGUGAGUGCAAACUUUGGACGCACACAGGGCUCUUUUGCGUCCAUGUGUUAUGCAUGCUUUCUCAUUUGAGAGUACUCAAGAUUCCUGAGGUGUACAUCAUGAAAAGAUAAACCCAUAACGCAAGAUCAAAUGCAACAUUUGACAGAAGAGACUAUGGACAAACAGCACCAGAUGGAACCUCGCUUUUUUGCUGUAGAAAAUUGCUGGCAGGAACAGCAAUGGACCUUGCAAACACAGCGACAAGGUCCAAC